rnacentral:lncRNA from 1 species
UAAUUAAUGAUGAAUGUCCUCUUCAAUGCACACUCUCAACCAAAAACCCCAAACUUUGACAAAACAAUGGUGGAAAAAUGAGAUUUUGGUGAGUGGGAGAUGACAAAGUAGGGAAAUCUCUUUAAAAAGCUCUUGAAAGGGAAAGAGGAGUGUUAAGGCUUAGGGAGAUCGCUCAGGCGGACUGCAAAGAAGAAGUUUGAAAGUGAAAACCGCUCAGCUUUAAGAAAGCUCAAGCCCCAAAACACGCCGCAACCGCUCAACGGUUUGCGGUAAUUUUCUCUUCUUCUUCUUUUCUUGCUUUUGAGUAAUCUUACCCUGUAGCACUCGAUUUCAACCUUCAAUUUAUCAAUCAUAUGUCUUUCCCCUUUCAGAUGCAACAUUCAAACAUGCAAUGCAUUUAAUACAGAGUCAAAAACAAAUAUAAUCAACU